UACGGGGGGGGCAAGCGUUGUUCGGAAUUACUGGGCGUAAAGGGCUCGUAGGCGGCCAACUAAGUCAGAUGUGAAAUCCCCAGGCUCAACCUGGGAACUGCAUCUGAUACUGGAUGGCUUGAAUCCGGGAGAGGGAUGCAGAAUUCCAGGUGUAGCGGUGAAAUGCGUAGAUAUCUGGAGGAAUACCGGUGGCGAAGGCGGCAUCCUGGACCGGCAUUGACGCUGAGGAGCGAAAGCGUGGGGAGCAAACGGG
rnacentral:rRNA from 1 species